UACGUAGGCAGCAAGCGUUGUUCGGAGUUACUGGGCGUAAAGGGUGUGUAGGCGGUUCCUUAAGUUUGCUGUGAAAUCUCCCGGCUUAACCGGGAGGGUGCGGUGAAUACUGAGGGACUAGAGUACGGGAGAGGAAAGUGGAAUUCCUGGUGUAGCGGUGAAAUGCGUAGAUAUCAGGAGGAACACCGGUGGUGUAGACGGCUUUCUGGACCGUAACUGACGCUGAGACACGAAAGCAUGGGGAGCGAACAGG
rnacentral:rRNA from 1 species